rnacentral:misc_RNA from 1 species
GAUGAAGAACGUAGCGAAAUGCGAUACUUGGUGUGAAUUGCAGAAUCCCGUGAACCAUCGAGUCUUUGAACGCAAGUUGCGCCUCAAGCCAUUAGGUUGAGGGCACGUCUGCCUGGGCGUCACAUAUCGUUGCCUGAUUCCAGUUUCCUCGUGAUGGGUGACUGUGCAGGGCGAAUGAUGGCUUCCCGUGAGCAUUGUUGCCUCAUGGUUGGUUGAAAAUUGAGUCCUUGGUAGGGAGCGCCGUGAUAGAUGGUGGUUGAGUGACGAACGAGACCCAAUCAUGUGAGACCCCUACCGAAUUUGGCCUUCAUGACCCACAUGCGUCUUUGGAACGCUCAUGACGAGACCUCAGGUCAGGCGGGGCUACCCGCUGAGUUUAAGCAUAUCAAUAAGCGGAGGA